CAUGCAAGUCGAGGGGCAGCGCGGGAUAGCAAUAUUCUGGCGGCGACCGGCGGAAGGGUGCGUAACGCGUGAGCGGCAUGCCCGUUGCCCGGGGACAACCGGUGGAAACGCCGACUAAUCCCCGAUGGGAUACGAUGCUGCAUGGCAUUGUAUUGAAAGUUACGGCGGCGACGGAUUGGCUCGCGUCCGAUUAGCUGGUUGGCGGGGUAACGGCCCACCAAGGCUGCGAUCGGUAGGGGUUCUGAGAGGAAGGCCCCCCACAAUGGGACUGAGACACGGCCCAUACUCCUACGGGAGGCAGCAGUGAGGAAUAUUGGUCAAUGGGCGGAAGCCUGAACCAGCCAUGCCGCGUGCGGGAAGGAGGCCCUAUGGGCUGUGAACCGCUUUUGCCUGGGGGCAAUAAGGGCGUCGCGCACGCCCGAUGAGAGUACCAGGCGAAUAAGCAUCGGCUAACUCCGUGCCAGCAGCCGCGGUAAUACGGGGGAUGCGAGCGUUAUCCGGAUUCAUUGGGUUUAAAGGGUGCGUAGGCUGUGCGUCAAGUCGGGGGUGAAAUUCCGGUGCUCAACACCGGGGCUGCCCUUGAUACUGUCGCGCUGGAGUGCGGAUGCCGCCGGAGGAAUGAGUGGUGUAGCGGUGAAAUGCUUAGAUAUCACUCAGAACACCGAUUGCGAAGGCAUCUGGCGAAUCCGUAACUGACGCUGAGGCACGAAAGCGUGGGGAUAGAACAGGAUUAGAUACCCUGGUAUUCCACGCCGUAAACGAUGAUGGCUAACCGCCGGCGACACACUGUCGGUGGCCAAGCGAAAGCGAUAAGCCAUCCACCUGGGGAGUACGUCGGCAACGAUGAAA
rnacentral:rRNA from 1 species